GUCCCUCUGGCCUCCCCCAAACUCACCUGUCGUAUCUUUGAAUGUUACUUCAGUGUGGGGGGGAGGUAGCCUCAAAGGUCCCCGCAGGAUGACCACUCCACUCACAGGAUGUUCUUGGGGCUCCACCUCCCCUACACACCAACUUUACACCAACCUCUGGCGGAGCGCCAGGUCUCAACACGGCUGCCUCUCCUCAGUGGAUGUUCCUUGUGCCUUAUUGUGUCCCACUUUCCUCCUUGGGGCAGGAUUGUUAGUUGUUUCAGGCCCUAUGCCUGGGGCCCCUUUGAGCCCAUCAGCUCUAUUCCUGGUGUCGGCAUGGGUUCCCCUGUCAUGCAGGGGGUUAAAGAAAACAAAAUGAAUAAAAGCAG